rnacentral:tRNA from 1 species
UCCCUGGUGUCUCAGACAGUAAAGAAUUUGCCUGCAAUGCAGGAGACUCCAGGUUCGAUUCCUGGAUUGGGAA